CCUGGCUCAGGAUUAGAUACCCUGAGAGUCAUGAGUUUUAUCCUGGCUCAGGACGAAACACCCUGGUGGGCGUGCUUAACACCAUGCAAGUCGAACGGGGAAGCUUCCCUGCUUGCAGGGGUGGAUCAGUGGCGAACCGGGUGAGUAACACGUGAGCAAACCUGCCCUCCACUUCGGGAUAAGCCUUGGAACGGGGUCUAAUACCGGGAUAUGAGCACUCACUGCAUGGUGGGUGUUGGAAAGUUUUUCGUGGGGGAUGGGCUCGCGGCCUAUCAGCUUGUUGGUGGGGUAAUGGCCUACCAAGGCGUCGACGGGUAGCCGGCCUGAGAGGGCGACCGGCCACACUGGGACUGAGACACGGCCCAGACUCCUACGGGAGGCAGCAGUGGGGAAUAUUGCACAAUGGGCGAAAGCCUGAUGCAGCGACGCCACGUGAGGGAUGACGGCCUUCGGGUUGUAAACCUCUUUCAGCAGGGAAGAAGCGCAAGUGACGGUACCUGCAGAAGAAGCGCCGGCUAACUACGUGCCAGCAGCCGCGGUAAUACGUAGGGCGCAAGCGUUGUCCGGAAUUAUUGGGCGUAAAGAGCUCGUAGGCGGUCUGUCGCGUCUGGUGUGAAAUCUCAUGGCUCAACUGUGAGCUUGCAUCGGGCCCGGGCAGCCUCGAGUUCCGUAGGGAAAACCCUUAUUAGUCGUGAAUCUGAUCAGGGCGCAGGUUUAAAUACCCUGGUAGUCCUGAGUUUGAUCCGGGCUCAGGAUUAGAUACCCUGGUAGUC
rnacentral:rRNA from 1 species